UACGGAGGGUGCAAACGUUGCUCGGAAUCAUUGGGCGUAAAGCGCACGUAGGCGGUCCAGCAAGUCGGGUGUGAAAUCCCUCGGCUUAACCGAGGAACUGCCUGUCAGACUGGAAGGCUUGAGACCGGGAGAGGUGAGUGGAAUUCCCAGUGUAGCGGUGAAAUGCGUAGAUAUUGGGAGGAACACCAGUGGCGAAGGCGGCUCACUGGACCGGAACUGACGCUGAGGCGCGAAAGCGUGGGGAGCAAACAGGG
rnacentral:rRNA from 1 species